rnacentral:rRNA from 1 species
GACGAACGCUGGCGGCGUGCUUAACACAUGCAGGUCGAACGGAAAGGCCCCUUUGGGGGUACUCGAGUGGCGAACGGGUGCGUAACGCGUGAGUAACCUGCCCUUGCCUUCGGGAUAACUUCAGGAAACUGGGGCUAAUACCGGAUAGGAAUCCUUGCUGCAUGGUGGGGGUUGGAAAGCUUCGGCGGUUUUGGAUGGACUCGCGGCUUAUCAGCUUGUUGGUGGGGUAGUGGCUUACCAAGGCUUUGACGGGUAGCCGGCCUGAGAGGGCGACCGGCCACAUUGGGACUGAGAGACGGCCCAGACUCCUACGGGAGGCAGCAGUGGGGAAGAUUGCACAAUGGGCGGAAGCCUGAUGCAGCAACGCCGCGUGCGGGAUGACGGCCUUCGGGUUGUAAACCGCUUUCAGCAGGGGCGAAGCUUGUGGUGACGGUACCUGCAGAAGAAGCACCGGCUAACUACGUG